rfam:Trichoderma atroviride IMI 206040 TRIATcontig_23, whole genome shotgun sequence.
GCGGUCUUAGCUCAGCUGGGAGAGCGUCAGACUGAAGUCGCAACUUCAAUCAUAGAAAUAUCUGAAGGUCGUGUGUUCAAGCCACACAGACCGCA